AAAGACUCAUACGGAUGCCUGUCCUAUCAAAUUUCGAUGUUACUUUCUGCGCCUACCAUGGUGACCACAGGUAACGGGGAAUCAGGGUUCGAUUCUGGAG